rnacentral:pre_miRNA from 1 species
AUGUGAAUUACCUAGGAAUCUUAUCAAAAUGCAGAUUCUGAUUCAGUUGGCAGAGGGUGGGGCCUGAGAAUCUGCAUUUCUAACAAGCUCUCUGGAGAUAUUAAU